GACAGAGGGUGCAAACGUUGUUCGGAAUUACUGGGCGUAAAGCGCGUGUAGGCUGUUUUGCAAGUCGGAUGUGAAAGCCCUGGGCUCAACCUAGGAAGUGCACUCGAAACUGCAGAACUGGAGUCCUGGAGAGGAAGGCGGAAUUCUCGGUGUAGAGGUGAGAUUCGUAGAUAUCGAGAGGAACACCGGUGGCGAAGGCGGCCUUCUGGACAGUGACUGACGCUGAGACGCGAAAGCGUGGGGAGCAAACAGG
rnacentral:rRNA from 1 species